AUUGUGCCAGCAGCCGCGCGGUAAUACAGAGACCACGAGCGUUAUCCGGAUUUAUUGGGCGUAAAGCGUCCGCAGGUGGUUCGGUAAGUCAUGUGUCAAAUUUCUGGGCUCAACCCGGAUCAGGCGCGUGAUACUGCCAAACUCGAGACCGGGAGAGGCACAUGGAAUUGCUGGUGUAGCGGUAAAAUGCGUUAAUAUCAGCAAGAACACCAAAGGCGAAGGCAAUGUGCUGGAACGGUUCUGACACUCAUGGACGAAAGCGUGGGUAGCGAAUGGGAUUAGAUACCCCAGUAGUCCACGCCCUAAACGAUGGAUGCUAGAUAUUGGAAGUAUCGACCCUUCCAGUGUCGUUGAACCAAGCUAACGCGUUAAGCAUCCCGCCUGGGGAGUACGAUCGCAAGAUUAAAACUCAAAGGAAUAGACGGGGACCCGCACAAGCGGUGGAGCAUGUGGUUUAAUUCGACGGUAAGCGAGGAACCUUACCUGGGCUUGAAAGAUAGCUGCAAGCCGCCGGAAACGGUGGCCGCCUUCGAGGGUGCUAUCUAGGUGCUGCAUGGUCGUCGUCAGCUCGUGCCGUGAGGUGUACCCUUAAGUGGGGUAACGAGCGCAACCCCUGUCAUGUGUUACAUUUCCACAUGAGACUGCCCGUGCAAACGGGGAGGAAGGCGGGGAUGACGUCAGAUCAGCAUGGCCCUUACGUCCAGGGCGACACACGUGCUACAAUGGACAGUACAAUGGGUUGCCAAGCCGCAAGGCGGAGCUAAUCCUAUCAAAGCUGUCCCCAGUUCGGAUCGAGGGCUGCAACUCGCCCUCGUGAAGCCGGAAUCGCUAGUAAUGGCCCGAUCAGCCACGCGGCCGUGAUACGUUCUCGGGUCUUGCACACACGCCCGUCAAUCGUCGACUGCAGCAUGCAGCUUGCACUGGCGUCGUUUACACGUCGUGACUGGGAAACCUGCGUACCACUAUCGCAUGCGAUUUCCUCCUUAUAGGACUGGUGCGAAUUCACUCCGGCAAUGGUGGCACCAUCUCUGAUUUACAAAAUCUUUGGCUGA
rnacentral:rRNA from 1 species